rnacentral:rRNA from 1 species
AUGAUGCCCAGCUUGCUGGGUGGAUUAGUGGCGAACGGGUGAGUAACACGUGAGUAACCUGCCCCUGACUCUGGGAUAAGCGUUGGAAACGACGUCUAAUACUGGAUAUGACUGCCGGCCGCAUGGUCUGGUGGUGGAAAGAUUUUUUGGUUGGGGAUGGACUCGCGGCCUAUCAGCUUGUUGGUGAGGUAAUGGCUCACCAAGGCGACGACGGGUAGCCGGCCUGAGAGGGUGACCGGCCACACUGGGACUGAGACACGGCCCAGACUCCUACGGGAGGCAGCAGUGGGGAAUAUUGCACAAUGGGCGAAAGCCUGAUGCAGCAACGCCGCGUGAGGGAUGACGGCCUUCGGGUUGUAAACCUCUUUUAGUAGGGAAGAAGCGAAAGUGACGGUACCUGCAGAAAAAGCACCGGCUAACUACGUGCCAGCAGCCGCGGUAAUACGUAGGGUGCAAGCGUUGUCCGGAAUUAUUGGGCGUAAAGAGCUCGUAGGCGGUUUGUCGCGUCUGCUGUGAAAUCCCGAGGCUCAACCUCGGGCUUGCAGUGGGUACGGGCAGACUAGAGUGCGGUAGGGGAGAUUGGAAUUCCUGGUGUAGCGGUGGAAUGCGCAGAUAUCAGGAGGAACACCGAUGGCGAAGGCAGAUCUCUGGGCCGUAACUGACGCUGAGGAGCGAAAGCGUGGGGAGCGAACAGGAUUAGAUACCCUGGUAGUCCACGCC